rnacentral:rRNA from 1 species
GACGAACGCUGGCGGCGUGCUUAACACAUGCAAGUCGAACGGGUCUGCCCUGUUUUUUGCGGGGUGGGUCAGUGGCGAACGGGUGAGUAACACGUGAGUAACCUGCCCCUCACUUCUGGAUAACCGCUUGAAAGGGUGGCUAAUACGGGGUGUUCUGGCUGUGCCGCAUGGUGUGGCUGGGAAAGAUUCACUUUUGUGGUGUUUUGGUGGGGGAUGGGCUCGCGGCCUAUCAGCUUGUUGGUGGGGUGAUGGCCUGCCAAGGCUUUGACGGGUAGCCGGCCUGAGAGGGUGGGCGGUCACACUGGGACUGAGAUACGGCCCAGACUCCUGCGGGAGGCAGCAGGGGGGGGUAUUGCACAAUGGGCGGAAGCCUGAUGCAGCGACGUCGCGUGAGGGAUGGAGGCCUUCGGGUUGUGAACCUCUUUCGCCGGUGAAGAAGGUCCUGCUCUUUGUGGUGGGGUUGACGGUAGCCGGGUUAUGAAGCGCCGGCUAACUACGUG